UGAGCCCCCGCUCGGCCCCCUCUCCGUGCUCGACAGAGAGAGAGAGUGGGGGAGAUCGCUUUAGCCUGAAGGAGAGACCAGAUAGUGAAAUAAUCUUUAAUCUCUGUCCCUUCCAGGCAUCGGCAACACCUGUUUUCCUUGAUGGCGUCGUGCGAGAGGGCAGCGUUCAGCCUUGUUUUAAAGCUGAUUGCCUGACUUAUAAAUAUGAAUGUCUGCUCUGCUCGGCCCGCCUCAAAUCCCCGGUGGUCACUCUGUCUGCUCACACGGCAUCUGAUGAAGCAUUCAAACACAGGGGGACGUAAGUGACAAUGACACUACAAAGCUCAACGAUGAAGCCAGACAGGAUCUCAUUACGGCAUGAGACUGUUAAUAAUAAACUAUCACAGGUCCCAAAUCCACGACGGUAUUAGGUGAAACAGAUUGCUCGGGUCUGAAUUUAAACCCACAGCCCUCCUCGAGGAGAGUCAAGUCCAAUGACAAACAUAAUUCUUCAAGGAAGUUUGGAAAUACUCGGCCAGGAAAAUGGAGGUUGGAGACGGGGUGUCUCGAAAAGGUCAAGAUUUGCUGUUUGGAAGCCUAGCUCAAACAUAAAUGCUCUGUAAUACCGGUUUGGGUGAUUGCUUUACUCUCUAGACAAUGUCAAUUUUGUGGAAGGAGUUGCAGAUUAAGUCGCCGGCGUGUCAAGGGCCCUCGUGGGGGCCAGUGUCUAGUCUCGGAAACAGGUCCUAAAGCCCAUGCCUAUUACCACAGCCACCCACAGGACAGAUGUUUAAAGCUUAGGGGCGCAAUGGAGAAUAAUAGCACAUUAGAUUCUUAAUGUCUCUGUUGAUGCCGCGCUCAUGUGGGAGGAAAAUCUCUGGUGGUCCAAACACCUUGCCCCUUUUUUUCCUCAUCCCUCUCUUUAUUUUUCUUAGCUCCAUCCAGAUUUGGUUGCUCGGUCUCUCCUCAUGCCACUUGAGCGAUGAAUCCUACCCCGGAGCAAGGCGCCACACACAAUUCAUCAAGAUAUGACCCGCUCGGAGGAUGCACUGGGCUAAUGAACUCAUUAAAAUGUGUGCGCGUGUCGGCGCGUGUGGGCGGAUGUGGAUGUUUGCGCGAGCGUGCGCGCGUCUGCUUUGUGGGUUUAAUGUAUAUGUUUGUGUAAAAGGGAAAAAGGGGAAAGAUGGCCCGCCGAUGGAAAACCAUUAGCCCCACCUCACAGUUCAGAUUGCAAGCAUUUAUCUUGGCAGAUAUGAUGGCUGUUUAAAGCUGUGAUGUAUAUCUGCGGUGUGCCGGAUUCAAAGGCCGGGAAAACUGACUAUGAAGAAAAUGAUUCCAGAUGCAGAUCCAUCAUUUGAGAAUUGCCUCCUUCAUAGGCAGCGUACUGUACAGGAAAAGCUUUUAGUCCUGUGAUUGUCUUGAUUAUGAGCUUCACUUACGGAAGUGACAUAAUAUUUAUACAUAAUAAUUAUUAGCUAAGCAAUGUGGGUGACAAGCUUUCUGCCAGUUUUGUAUAAUGAUUUGUCACAUAUUAAAUGAGAAUACUCUCUCUCUCUC